rnacentral:rRNA from 1 species
UACAGAGGUCUCAAGCGUUGUUCGGAUUCAUUGGGCGUAAAGGGUGCGUAGGUGGCAUGGUAAGUCGGAUGUGAAAUCCCGGGGCUCAACCCCCGGAACUGCAUUCGAUACUGCUGAGCUAGAGUACUGGAGAGGAGAUUGGAAUUUACGGUGUAGCAGUGAAAAUGCGUAGAUAUCGUAAGGAAGACCAGUGGCGAAGGCGGAUCUCUGGACAGUUACUGACACUGAGGCACG